rnacentral:rRNA from 1 species
UUUGCCAGGCGCCACGCGGUUAUACUCAGUCAGCUAUAUAGAUCGUCAUAGGUAUAAAUCAUAGACAAAAUUUUGAGAGGAAAAUUAGCCAUACGGAACUACUACAGGUAGAAUAGAGUGGUGCACCGUAUAUCAUAUCUAAUAACUAAUUGCUAUCUGUGAAGCUGGGACCUAAAACCAGGAUUAGAGACCCUGCUAUUCCCAGUGUAAAAAUAAUUUAAUUUGUUAAAUUGCCUCAGGACUAAAAGAAUAUUCUUCAAACUGUAAGGGCUUGGCGGUACCGGAGACCAAUCAGGGGAACCUGUCUCGUAAUAGAUAUUACACUAAAUACCUUACUUCUGCUUGUCAAGCAGCCCGUAUAUCGUUGUCUAGCUUAUAACAAUAAAUAAAUAAAAGUCGGCUAAGUAACCAGAAAUCUGGAAAGAAGUCAAAUCAAGAUGCAGCUAACUGCAGAAGGAGGGAUGGGUUACAUUUUUUAAUUAUGAAGGAGAACAGGCUGAGAGGCCUGAGGGAAACCGGACUUGAAAGUAAGAUUUUUUAGAUAGAAAAUUUGAACAAGGUAGCUCUGGUGUGUACAGAUCGCCCGUCGCUCUUGCUGAAAACUAAGAUAAGUCGUAACAAGUAAGGGGGUAAA